CAGCUACUCCCUCCGUUCGGAAUUACUUGUCGUAGAAAUGGAUGUAUCUAGAACUAGAUACAUCCAUUUCUACGACAAGUAAUUCCGAACGGAGGGAGUAGCUG
rnacentral:pre_miRNA from 1 species